rnacentral:rRNA from 1 species
AGCCCGGCCGCCCCACGGAGCUCCCGGAGUUCGGAUCCGCAAGGACCGGGCCAGCGGGACGUCCGCGUGGCAGGGUGCACUUUCUCCGCGGUCGAGUGCUACGACCGGUUUCGCGGCGGUCAGAAGCCCGGCGGAAAGGUAGCGCCGCCCCUCGGGGUGUCGUGUUAUAGGCCGCCGCGGUGGACUCGCCGCGAGACCGAGGACGCUUGCCGCGCCGAGCGGUCCCGGGCCGUCUUGGGAGGUUCGACCUCGGCUGCACUGCUCCGCAGAGCACCGUAACCGCCGCCCUAGCACGGGUCCGGAGACUGCCGGCGCCUCGGGUCAGUAGCG